AUUGAACGCUGGCGGCAGGCCUAACACAUGCAAGUCGAACGAGUGGCGGACGGGUGAGUAAUGUCUGGGAAACUGCCCGAUGAAGGGGGAUAACUACUGGAAAAGGUAGAUAAUACCGCAUACCAUCGGAUGGGGCCAGAUGGGAUUAGCUAGUGGGUGGGGUAACGGCUCACCUAGGCGACGAUCCCUAGCUGGUCUGAGAGGAUGACCCGCCACACUGGACCGGAGACACGGUCCAGACUCCUACGGGAGGCAGCAUUGGGGAAUAUUGGACAUUGGGCGCAAUCCUGAUGCCGCCAUGCCGCGUGUAUGAAGAAGGCCUUCGGUUUGUAAAGUACUUUCAGCGGGGAGGCGUUACUCGCAGAAGAAGCACCGGCUAACUCCGUGCCAGCAGCCGCGGUAAUAC
rnacentral:rRNA from 1 species